GACGAACGCUGGCGGCGUGCUUAACACAUGCAAGUCGAACGGAAAGGCCCUGCUUUUGUUGGGUGCUCGAGUGGCGAACGGGUGAGUAACACGUGAGUAACCUGCCCUUGACUUUGGGAUAACUUCAGGAAACUGGGGCUAAUACCGGAUAGGAGCUCCUGCUGCAUGGUGGGGGUUGGAAAGUUUCGGCGGUUGGGGAUGUACUCGCGGCUUAUCAGCUUGUUGGUGGGGUAGUGGCUUACCAAGGCUUUGACGGGUAGCCGGCCUGAGAGGGUUACCGGCCACAUGGGGACUGAGAUACGGCCCAGAAUCCUACGGGAGGCAGCAGUGGGGAAUAUUGCACAAUGGGCGGAAGCCUGAGGCAGCAACGCCGCGUGCGGGAUGACGGCCUUCGGGUUGUAAACAGCUUUCGCCUGUGACGAAGCGUGAGUGACGGUAAUGGGUAAAGAAGCACCGGCUAACUACGUG
rnacentral:rRNA from 1 species